rnacentral:rRNA from 1 species
CCUACGGGAGGCAGCAGUGAGGAAUAUUGGUCAAUGGUCGGGAGACUGAACCAGCCAAGCCGCGUGAGGGAUGAAGGUACAGAGUAUUGUAAACCUCUUUUGUCAGGGAACAAAGGCGGGGACGCGUCCCCGGAUGAGUGUAUCUGAAGAAAAAGCAUCGGCAAACUCCGGGCCAGCAGCCGCGGUAAUACGGCGGAUGCGAGCGUUAUCCGGUUUUAUUGGGUUUAAAGGGUGCGCGGGCGGUCUGUUAAGUCAGCGGUAAAACCCCGGGGCUCAACCCCGGCCCGCCGUUGAAACUGGCGGUCUCGAGUUGGAGAGAGGUAUGCGGAAUGCGCGGUGUAGCGGUGAAAUGCAUAGAUAUCGCGCAGAACUCCGAUUGCGAAGGCAGCAUGCCGGCUCCACACUGACGCUGAGGCACGAAAGCGUGGGUAUCGAACAGGAUUAGAUACCCCUGUAGUC